GGCUCGUUAGCUCAGUGGUCAGAGCGCCGUACUGAAUCUCGGAGGUCGUAGGUUCGAUUCCUACAUGAGCCC